AAAAUUUCAGCCUCUAGGUUUUUCUCUCUUGUUCUCUCAUGGCUAUGAAGUAACCCUAUAUACCCACAAUGUUUCUUGGAAUUGAGAUUCCUCCCAAGAUAAAGGGAUUAAGCUUAUUGAAGAGAUACAAAUUAAGAGGCUAAACUAACAAGGAAAUUAAGUGUAUGUGUGAAGGUAUUAAUCUAUUGAAGAGAUACAAAUUAUGAGGCUAAACUAAAAAGGAAAUCAAGGUGGCAGCACAGGGGCGUAAUCCUAGCAUGGGUCGUCCUAAUUUAUCUACUUACCACUGAUCAGCUGGUCAUUUGCAUGAUAUAUGGCUUACAAAGAUUAUGAAGUAAGAAGGCACAUGUACUUCUGUUCAUACACCUCAUUACUAGGAGCACAUCUAUUCGGUGACUAUUGGUGAGCUCCAGGUUGAUUUGGGGCUUUUCAAGUCUGUUCCAUAUAUUUUGGUGUUGUACAGAAGUUUAAGAGUAGGGCAGGGGUUUGUCCUGAACCUAACUAAGUAUAUGUUUCUUUUAGAGGCUUUGUAGACUAAUGUAAAGUUAUGGAAGUGUUUGUCUUUAGAUAUGGUGGCCCCAACGGCCUAGUGUUGUAUAUAUAAGUUUGUGCUUGUCUAUAUAAUUAUUC